UCCGUAGCUGGACUCUUAAGUCUCUUGGGAAAUCCGCCGGCUUAACCGGCGGGCGUCUAAGAGAUACUGGGAGUCUAGGGACCGGGAGAGGUGAGAGGUACUCCGGGGGUAGGAGUGAAAUCCUGUAAUCCCUGGGGGACCACCGAUGGCGAAGGCAUCUCACCAGAACGGCUCCGACAGUGAGGGACGAAAGCUGGGGGAGCGAACAGGAUUAGAUACCCUGGUAGUCC
rnacentral:rRNA from 1 species